rnacentral:rRNA from 1 species
GAUGAACGCUAGCGACAGGCUUAACACAUGCAAGUCGAGGGGCAGCACGGGAGUAGCAAUACAACUGGUGGCGACCGGCGCACGGGUGAGUAACGCGUAUGCAACCUACCUAUCAGAGGGGAAUAACCCGGCGAAAGUCGGACUAACACCGCAUAAAACAGGGGCACCGCAUGGUGCUAUUUGUUAAAGAAAUUCGCUGAUAGAUGGGCAUGCGUUCCAUUAGGUAGUUGGUGAGGUAACGGCUCACCAAGCCGACGAUGGAUAGGGGAACUGAGAGGUUUGUCCCCCACACUGGUACUGAGACACGGACUAGACUCCUACGGGAGGCAGCAGUGAGGAAUAUUGGUCAAUGGGCGAGAGCCUGAACCAGCCAAGUCGCGUGAAGGAAGAAGGAUCUAUGGUUCGUAAACUUCUUUUGCAGGGGAAUAAAGUGCAGGACGUGUCCUGUCUUGUAUGUACCCUGAGAAUAAGGAUCGGCUAACUCCGUGCCAGCCGCCGCAGUAA